UACAGAGGGGGCAAGCGUUAUUCGGAAUUAUUGGGCGUAAAGGGCGCGUAGGCGGCUUGGCAAGUGGAAGGUGAAAUCCCUCGGCUUAACCGAGGAACUGCCCUCCAAACUGCUUGGCUUGAGACCGGGAGAGGUGAGUGGAAUUCCCAGUGUAGCGGUGAAAUGCGUAGAUAUUGGGAGGAACACCAGUGGCGAAGGCGGCUCACUGGACCGGUACUGACGCUGAGGCGCGAAAGCGUGGGGAGCAAACGGG
rnacentral:rRNA from 1 species